UACGUAGGGUGCGAGCGUUAAUCGGAAUUACUGGGCGUAAAGCGUGCGCAGGCGGUUCUCCAAGUCCGUGGUGAAAUCUCUGAGCUUAACUCAGAAACUGCCGUGGAUACUAUUUGCCUUGAAUAUUGUGGAGGUGAGCGGAAUAUGUCAUGUAGCGGUGAAAUGCUUAGAUAUGACAUAGAACACCAAUUGCGAAGGCAGCUCACUACACAAUCAUUGACGCUGAGGCACGAAAGCGUGGGGAUCAAACAGG
rnacentral:rRNA from 1 species